rfam:Cicer arietinum chromosome Ca7, whole genome shotgun sequence.
AUGGCACGGUGAUGAACGAUUUAUUGUCAUAUGAUAUCUCAUGUGAUUAAAAACACCUCCUACUCAUACUGA